GAGGUCAAGGAAACACACUUAGAGCAUGGUCCAUGUGUAGAGGUCAAGAAACACACUUAUAGCAUGGUCCAUGUGUGGAGGUCAAGAAACACACUUAUAGCAUGGUCCAUGUGUGGAGGUCAAGAAACACACUUAUAGCAUGGUCCAUGUGUGGAGGUCAAGAAACACAUUUAUAGCAUGGUCCAUGUGUGGAGGUCAAGAAACACACUUAUAGCAUGGUCCAUGUGUGGAGGUCAAGAAACACACUUAUAGCAUGGUCCAUGUGUGGAGGUCAAGAAACACACUUAUAGCAUGGUCCAUGUGUGGAGGUCAAGAAACACACUUAUAGCAUGGUCCAUGUGUGGAGGUCAAGAAACACAUUUAUAGCACGGUCCAUGU